CAGACAAAGCAGGAUUACAUAUUGCGCAUGCCAAAGCACGGCUGUGCAAGACGUAGACUACUACAGAUAUACACACCCCAGGCCCGAGCAUAUAACACUGAGAAUCACCUCCAUAGUAAAGACUUCAAGAUGGGAUCAACUAUGCAUACAGCACAUACAAUCCCAUUCUGCAGACAAUGAAGCGGUAAUACUCAGAUAUGUAUGAUCUCGAUCGACAACACACUUAUUCCUUUCCUUGGAAGCUUCUAGUAGUCGUCGGUGUUGUUCCUGCCCGACCUACUCAUCGGAGCCGGACUUGUUGUAGCCUCCGCUGUAGUCAUCGGUUCCUGACUUGCUGCUGCGGCCAUAGUCAUCGCCGCUGGACUUGUUGUAGCCUCCGUCAUAGUUGUCCGUGCUAGACUUGUUGUAGCCACCGCUGCCAUAGUCGUCAGUGUUGGAGGUGUUCUUACCGCUGCCAUAGUCGUCGGUGCUCGACUUGUUGUAGCCGCUGCCGCCGUAGCCAUCAGUGCUGGAGUUCUUGUAGCCACCAUCAUAGUCGUCAGAGCUUGGCUUCUUGUAUUCGUCGCUGGUGGUGGACUUGCUGUAUCCACCACUGCCACUGUAGUCAUCGGUGCCAGAUUUGUUGUAGUCGCUGCUUAGGUCAUUGGACUUGUAGCCACCAUCGUUUCUGUAGUCGUCGGUGCUGGACUUGUUGUAGCCACCCCCGCUACUGUAGUCGUCCGUGCUGGACUUGUAGCCGCCACCCCCGCUACCGUAGUCAUCGGUGCUGGACUUGUUGUAGCCACCAGCGUUACCGUAGUCGUUGGUGCUGGACUUGCUGUAGCCACCUUCGUCAACACUGGUGCUUCUGUAGCUGCUGCGAUCAUACUCAUCAGCCAUUUUAAGUUGUGAAGUAAAAUAUCACAAAAAUAAAUUGUAUGCUCAGUUCUGUGCAUCC
rnacentral:lncRNA from 1 species